AUACGGAGGGGGUUAGCGUUGUUCGGAAUUACUGGGCGUAAAGCGCACGUAGGCGGAUUGGAAAGUUGGGGGUGAAAUCCCAGGGCUCAACCCUGGAACUGCCUCCAAAACUAACAGUCUAGAGUUCGAGAGAGGUGAGUGGAAUUCCAAGUGUAGAGGUGAAAUUCGUAGAUAUUUGGAGGAACACCAGUGGCGAAGGCGGCUCACUGGCUCGAUACUGACGCUGAGAUGCGAAAGCGUGGGGAGCAAACAGGAUUAGAAACCCUAGUAGUCC
rnacentral:rRNA from 1 species